CACAAUACAAAAAGAUUCAUGUUAGAAAUAUUCCAGUUAAGACUCUAGAAUAUCAGGAUUUAUGUAAAUUUACCUCAAUAAUAUGAAUGUUCAGGUUGUGCAGUGAUAUUUAUUAUGUGAGUUUAGCUGAUAAAAGUUUAUUAUUUAAAUUGACAUCAUUAUUAUAAUAUUUAAGAUCAGACUCUACAGUAUUGAGAUUAAGAAAUCAAAUAUUCUAUAAAAUGUAAAUACACUGAACUCAUUUGGAUCUAUUUAAGUGAGACUCUACAAUAUUAUUUAUGACACAAAUCUAUCUAAAUCAACAUUUUAAUCAUUUUUACUCCAAACAUUUACUGGACUGAUUUAAACAUUAAAAUCACUUCUUUCUAAUCCUCUGCUGUACGUUCAAACCUGAGGCCUUAAAUAGAAACACACAAGUAUCUGAUUGAAGGAACUUCUGCAGAGUCCUGGUUCCAGAACAUGAUGAUAGAAUUAUAGACAAACUUUAACAAAAGCUGCCUGAGAGUUUACAGGUUUUUAUGUUAGAUUUCUUCAGUAAUUUAAUGAGAGUUAUCAGCAAAAAUCAAGUGUUCAUUUGAUGAACUUCAUUUCUUAAAACAUCCAGAAUUGGAGCUCAUAUCUUUGGCAGCUGUAAAGUUUCUGCUCCUUCAAAGUUCACAACACAAUGAAUGAAUUCCUAAAACACUCUCAAUGCUGGAGAGCUUUUGAUGCUGAAGCAGUGAUCAGUUUUUCUGUUUCUUCUCUGGAGAUGCACAAUGAGGGACGUCUGCAGAGACUGAGAAAGAGUCUCACCACAUCCUGACAUGAGGAAAAAGACUUUAUUGAAGACUACAAUGAGAAAAACUAUCAGACAGCAGACGGCUGCAUUCAAGAGAGGAAGACCAUCAAACAUCCACGUCAGCUGAUGGAGGUCCAAGAGUCUCACCCAACAAACAACCUACAGAGUGAAGACCUCCAAUCUGAUUGGACGGCCUCCUAUUCAGCCACAUUUUAGGCUGUUAGAUUGUUCCAGAUAAGACAAGUACAAGAUUCUUCAGAGCCGUUCUACCACGAGCCUGACAGGAAGAACUCCAACAGCUACUGAAUGUUCCUGUGGUUCCCUCAAGGCUACAGGAGGAGCCCUACGAGGACGAGCUGGUCCACCUGAUGGAGGCCAGUCGCUGCGGUUCAAAGCCAACACCGACUACGUGGACUUCUACUGGACCACAUGGAGGCCUUCAAACCGGACCAACAAGUUCAGCGACUCCCCGACUCGUGGGUCUGAGGACGCCGCCGAGCCUCGGUCCAGCCGGCCUCCUGUCUGUGGGUGUUUGAGUGCUGAGAGGUUUGUGGAUGCAUGUGAACGUUCUGUGUUGAAACAGCAGCUUUGGACUCAGUAACACCGGGAAAAACCAAGAGCUCCUUUAUUUGUGACUUCCACUAAAAAAACUGAUGAAAAUAAGUUUACCAGGGUUCUGACUGAUAACAGAUUAUUAAAUAAUGAAAAUAAUCCUUUAAAUAUUCCUUUAAACAAUCCUUUUAGGUCUACAUUUCCUUUACGCUGACUUCUUGGUAAAUGUACAAGUAUUUUGGGUGGAAUAUACCA
ensembl:lncRNA